AGCAAGGUGUAAUGGCGGACGUUAAUGACGUUGUGGAAGCAACUCAUUUAUCUUCUGAAAAUAUUGACGGAAGAGCUCUUUUGCAUUGAGCUUUACAGCACAUAGCCAUCAGAUGGAAAUUUAUCAAGGUUGUACACCUGGUUAUCCGCCUCUCCCUCAAGGCUGGGAGAUGAAAGUGGACCCUACUUCUGGAAAACCAUUCUUCAUCGAUCAUAAGACGCGGACAACAUCUUGGGAAGAUCCAAGAGUAAGGCAGAAACAUUAUCAGGGACCUGGCGGAUCCUUGGGAAACCAGAAUCCAUCCCAAACAUUCCAGUUGCCGUCAGGUCAGCAAUACUCUACACCAGUACCAUCGUCUCCAGGUCAACUCUACCAAAUGCCUCCUCCUAUUUCAGGGCAAGUUUCUCAAAGCCCAGUGUCAAACCCUGGUCAACCUUUUCCAGUGUUACCUGACCAGCCAAACCAAGUGCCUCCUGGUCAUUUAAAUCACAUGUUACCUGGUCAAUCCAGUCAGAUAUUAUCAAAUCAACAAAACCAAGCUCCAGCUCCAUCAAGCCAAAUGCCACUUCCUCAACCAAGCCAACUGCCAUCUAGUCAGCCAAGUCAAAUGGUUUUCAGUCAGCCAAAUCUAAUGCCAUCUAGUCACCCAAACCAAAUGCCUUCUGGUCAGUCAAACCAAACGCCACAUGGUCACCCAAGCCAAAUGCCACAUGGUCAGCCAAACCAAAUGUCAUCUAGUCAAGUAAACCGAGUGAUCCCCGGUCAACCAAAUCAGAUGGCUCCUGGAGGACCGCUUUAUUCAGUACCAGGACCAAGUCCUUCCCAACCUUAUGAGGCACAGCCAAUGAUUCAAGGCCAACCACAGCAGACUCAGAGAUCAGAUUCUAGUCAACCAUAUCAGAUACCAAUGUCUGCUGCUGGUCCAACUUAUGAAAUUUCAUCCCAGAACACCAGUCAGGCAUAUCAAUUCCCUGCUGUUAAUUCUGUGUCGGCCUUAGGUGGGUCAGCAAAACCUGGUGUUCUUCGUCAAUCAAGUCAACAAUAUCAAGCAACACCAUAUCCAGGUCAACCAUAUCAGAUGCCUGCUUCAAAUCCUGAUCAGUUUUAUCAACCUCAGUCUUUGAAUCCAAGCCAACUUUACCCUGGUCAGCCUGUGCAGAGUCCCUUGCCUCCCUCGCGAACAAGCCAAGCAUACCAAACUCCAACAUCAGCUCCUGGUCAACCAUACCAGGUACGACCAUAUCAACCUUCACCUCAGAAUCAAGGCCAGGGUCCACCACAACCUAAUGCUCAGACAAUGCAGGCAACAGGACCAGGAGGGUAUCAAGCCUAUCAGACACCAGGACAGGUUCCUAAUCAAGUGCAGCCUUCAGGAAAGCCACCAAUACCAUCUGUAGUGGGUGCUGCUACUUCACAGCUCCAGCAACAGCAGCAAGUAAUGCCACCCUCCCCUGUACAACCAAAGUCACCUGGAGCACAAUCCUAUCAUCAUCAUCAUCAUCCAUACCAAAAUAAUUAUAAUUACUCCUCACCUCAUACACAAAGUAUCCCAGGAAAUAGAACUGUGAAACAAGAAAAUCAAGGCUAUGGCCCAACUCCUGUGGGACAACCACUACAAAUGAUAGAUGGAAGAACUCAGUCCUAUGCUCAAACUGCUCCAUCCCAGGCUACCCAAUGGGCUCCUCCAUUUGCAAAUCCUGCCCCAACCUCUGUGUAUGGUCACACAUCUCCUUACCCAGGUGCUCCUCCAGUGUCAUAUGCAACUGAACAGUCAAUGAUGCGGCAGUCACAACCCCAACAUCCACCACCUGGUUACCCUCCUAAUUCUUAUGCAGUUGGUUCAGGAUACACAAACCUGGGUCAACAACCAGGCUUCCCAGGCAGACAACCCUAUGCACAGUCAGCUCCUCAGAUGUAUGGCUCAGGUUAUCACCAGCCUGAACCUCGGAGUCAAUACACAACACGAAGGUCACCUUUAUCAGAUGCUAAAAUUAAUUCAAUCGAUACACUGCUUUGUCAUGCAGAGGAAUUGGAACCAAGAGUUUUAUCUUUUUCAGGAACCAGAGGUGACAGAGAGUUUAUUUAUCUUGAUGAACAACUAACAAAACUGAUUUUGGAUCUUGAUAAAGUACAGACAGAUGGAUUAGAAGAUGUACGAGUGGCUCGCAAGUCAGCCAUUCAAAGAAUACAAUUUUUAAUUGAUACUUUAGAGAAUAAAGGCUGAAGAAGCUCCAGAAGUCAUGUAAGCCUGUCAUCCAUUUAACAAGAAUUCAAUAAAAUUAUAUGUUAUUCUAGAAGCUGUGAAGUAGGUUUGACUAGUCAUAAAUCGUGAUUGCUCUCUGCUGUGUGAUAUCAAUAUUUUAGCAGCAUUUUUUUCCUUCUUUAUCUCUGUGGUUUUGACACCAAAUUACAGGAUUAAGCCAGGUAGGCAGCUUCUUCAUGGAAAUAUCCCACUUUGACUUAGUUAGAAUAAAAUGAGCUGUACAAGACAUCAGAGUAAGAGUAAAUUUUGGAUGUUUCUAUUAACAAGUUAGUUUUGCCCCUUGAAUAUUAGGUAUGUCAUUUAAAUCUAUUAGGGGCUGAUAAAGCAUACAGAUAUAUAUUGAAGAAACAUUUCUGCUAGGAAUCAGUUUUAAAAAUUAUUUUACAUUUUCUUAGAGGGAAGUAGCGAGCAUUAUUUUUUUAUUUCUUUUAUUAACUGUAACGAAGGAAACGACUAAAUGUAAGGAGUACUCCUGUUAGUUAAGUCACAAAAGUUUUAACUCUAGGUUUUAAUUACAGAUUUUUCUGACCUUUAUACUUUGGCUGAAUUUUUAAAGUGACAUUUUCACUGUACUGGCUCUCAAACUGAUACACUCUUCCAAUUUUUUGGGGGACACAAAUUUACCGUUGAGCUGCAGUUGAAUCCUAAUAAUGGUAAUGAGUUACAGGUUACUGUCAAGAUCAACAUGUGACUUUUCACAUGGAGAAUUGGAAGUAAGUAAAAAGCUUCUCCAAACUGUUCCUAGUACUUGAGGUUCAGUAGCAAUCUUGUCAUGUUUUAUUUUGGAGUUAACAUCUGGGCUGUGCAAACAAAAAACACAGCACUAGUAAUAGUGUCCAUACAAUCAGUAAAUUUCAAAGGUAUAGCAAAUAUUUUACUCUUGUCAAUAAACUGCCACAUAGAGUAA
rnacentral:misc_RNA from 1 species